CUACGGGAUGCUGCAGUGAGGAAUAUUGCACAAUGGGGGAAACCCUGAUGCAGCAACGCCGCGUGGAGGAUGACGCAUUUCGGUGUGUAAACUCCUUUUAUCAGAGAAGAAAAUGACGGUAUCUGAUGAAUAAGCUCCGGCUAACUCCGUGCCAGCAGCCGCGGUAAUACGGAGGGAGCAAGCGUUAUUCGGAAUCACUGGGCGUAAAGGACGCGUAGGCGGGUUUUUAAGGCAGGUGUGAAAUCCUAUGGCUCAACCAUAGAACUGCACUUGAAACUGGGGACCUAGAGUAUGGAAGGGGCAGGUGGAAUUAGUGGUGUAGGGGUAAAAUCCGUAGAUAUCACUAGGAAUACCGAAAGCGAAGGCGACCUGCUGGGACAUUACUGACGCUGAGGCGUGAAAGCGUGGGGAGCAAACAGGAUUAGAUACCCCGGUAGUC
rnacentral:rRNA from 1 species